rnacentral:rRNA from 1 species
UACGGAGGGGGCAAGCGUUAUUCGGAAUUAUUGGGCGUAAAGGGCGCGUAGGCGGCCUGGCAAGUGGAUGGUGAAAUCCCUCGGCUUAACCGAGGAACUGCCAUCCAGACUGCUUGGCUUGAGACCGGGAGAGGUGAGUGGAAUUCCCAGUGUAGCGGUGAAAUGCGUAGAUAUUGGGAGGAACACCGGUGGCGAAGGCGGCUCACUGGACCGGUACUGACGCUGAGGCGCGAAAGCGUGGGGAGCAAACGGG